AAGCCAGGGAGGGGCGGGGCGAUGCGCUCGCAUAUCCGCUGUCCCAGACACUUUCCCUCCCCUUAACUAGCAUCUCCACUAGUGACUGAGUGUUUUCUGUACGAUUGUGUUUGUAUGCGAGUAUGCGUGCGGGAGAAGAGCAGCGGGGGCCGGGACACGCUGCGGCGUGGUGGGAGGGGGGGCAGGUUUUCUCAUGCACAACCUGGUGAAGAACAAAGAUGGAUCAUGAGGUGGAAUCCCCACUGCACGUGGAGAUGGCGAAGGGCUUCAGAGUCGCAUCUCCGCUCUUAGAUAUGAUGUCAACUUCCCCGUCAUCCCCCUUUCCCUUCCCGACUUUCUCAAUCACCACAUUUUGGACUUUGUCAGCAAUUUCCAGCAGCGUCUCUCUCUUUGAUAUAUUGACUUCUAUCGGGUGCACUGAGGGGUAACUUGACUUAAGACCGAGUGAUUUGAAUAUGUUUUUGUUUUUUUUUUCCUUCCUGUGUUUUAAUGAGCGUAUGACUUCAGAAGAUCUAUAUUAAUAUAUUGUAGUUAGCCUUGUGUGAAUUGCUUCUAUUAUUUUUUAUCAUUUUGGUGGGUCGGCUGGAGAUUGGGAGCAGGUGUGGGCGAAUCGCAAAAUUUUGAAUUUAGAAUUCUAUUCUUAAUUGACGGUAUUGCAGGGGGGGGGGCAUAAAUCCAUUGGUUAUUGCGCAAAAAAAAAAAAGUAAUGCGGGCUGAAUUUGGAAAUGGAAGUGACUUUUGGCCCUCUUCACACUUCUGCAACUUUAUUUUGUACAACGGGCUGUUCUUUAAAAUUCACAAACAGAUGAACCAUCAAACAUUUACGGACAUCGACUCCAUGCCUUUCUGCGAUUUGUCGACGAGUCACAGAAGACUAGACUGGACUGGAGGUGAAACAAUCAAUCAAAAUAAUGGAUGAUUUUUCAUAAUCUGUUAAUUGUUUGGAAUUUUCAGCUUGUCAACAGCAAUAUUGUCCCAUCUCUCUGGUUAAAUCAAAUAAAACAUUUGUUUUUACUCAGGCAAAAAAAAAAAUCAAAUUUUCUCUAUAACAUUAACUGGAAUUUUUAUUUGUUUUCUGCACUAUCAAUAUUAAACUAUUUUUGAAUAGAGAUGGAAAAGCAUUUUUUUUUAAUCAGAUUCAUUAACUUGACAAAAUAUCAACUGAUUAAAAGAAAAAUUGUCACAAAUAAAAAAGAAACUCAAUGCAGUACGUGUGAAAGAGGCAUGUGGCGCACCUGCUCAGUUUUGUUCUGUGUCUGGGGUCGAUUUCACUUUCAACUUGAUUAUAUUAUUAGUUUGUUUUUUUGGGUGAGCACUGCGUGAGCUCCCUGUCGCUCCAAGCACCAGCAGAACCACUGACACGUGCUGAAUGAAAACUGACCCGGCUUGCAAAACAACAAAAAAAAGCUACAAAUAGGCUACUCAUGAAAUGUUAGUGAUCUUUAAAGUGGAAUUUCAAACAAAUCUAAAAUGCACUCUGACCUUUAUGGCAUUGAGAAGCCUAAAAAUAUCAAUUUUAAGAUCCGCUCUAAAGGUUAUGGUGCAUUUUUUGCUUUCUUGUGGAGAUUUCACCCGAGAGGCCUUCAUAUGCCAAAGUUUUUGUGAAUAGUCUCCCGUGUGUGCUUGUCCAACCAAGUAGCCCCUCCCCCAAGCUGCUUCUUGAAAGAUAGAAAUAAUAAUCAUGAUAAUAUGCAUGUGUGCUGCCUAACAUACAUGUUAGAGUUUUGUAGCUGCACAAUGCAUGGCUGCAAACUGGAGGUACCAUUAACAACUGCCCCCCCCCCCCCCCCCCAAAGAAAAUUGUAAAUCCUCAUGUAAUUCCCGGAUAUUAUCUCUCUUCUACAAAACAACAAAUUACUUCCUACAGGCCACGUGAUCCUUCAUCCAUGCUUUUACUCCAUUUGUAGCUGAGGGAUGGGGAAAAGGGGAAUUGAUUGAGGGGAGGGGGGGGGGCAGUUUUUCUAGACGAAAUAACAUUUGAGGGACCAGCCCAAUCUGCUGUUGUUGGAGACAGGCUUUUUAAUCAUUAUUCCCAGCAAAAGAGUCACAUUUGGAUUCCUUUUGGGGCCCCUUCCAAGUUAAGCUCUAGGAAACGCUUUCAACUGUGGUGGAUGUUUUCUCCUUUUUUUUUCCCGCCCAAAUAAAGAGUUGAUUGAAUGUAUACCAACACAGUUUAUAGCUGAAUCAUUCUAAGCGCUGAUAUCGACUGAGCAGAGUGACUGUUACUCUAGUUAUUUUAAAAUUGUAUUCUAAUGUCUUCAUCACACAGCCGGCGUAAAUUAGUGAUAACAGAACGCGAGAACUGAGGACGCAUGAAAAUAACUCGAUUUAUUUUGCCUGAUGGAAAAGAGCUGAACUAAUGCGUUUUCCCAGAGUGCUAGUUGUCCCUUUUUUGGCACCCCAGCCAGAGCACCUUCCUCCCCCCUCCAGAAAUACCACCAGGUAUCUUUUCUUUUUUUUAUUUGACAGAUUUAGGAUUGUGUGACUUGUUCAAGUACAAAACAAUAAAUCACAAAGUUUAUUUUAAA